rnacentral:tRNA from 1 species
UCCCCGGUGGCCCAGUGAUUAAGGAUUCAGCAUUGUCAAUGCCAUGGCUCAGGUUCGAUCCCUGGCCUGGGAA